GGUAGCGUGGCCGAGCGGUCCAAGGCGCUGGUUUUAGGCACCAGUCUCUUCGGGGGCAUGGGUUCGAAUCCCAUCGCUGCCA
rnacentral:tRNA from 1 species